GCUGUUAAAGGUCUCCAGGAAUAUCUCUAUUUCAGUCUCAGAUGUGAUGAUAUCUAAGCACUGGCUGGGAACCACUGCUCUCAUCAGUACAUACCAUCAGACCCUGGAAUAAAUCUGUGACCAGAGUUCAGCUUGGGUGGUGAAGCUGAAGCUACAGAGACUUCUCAGGCAUUUGUCUUCACCUGCAGCUCCUCUCUCACCAGCUGACCCCUUGCUGUCCUCAUCUUGCACGGCAGCUCCAGGAAAACCUUCCCACAUGUGGCAGUGCUCACUGGCUCUCAGACAGGCUCUGACCUGUGAAUGUUGUGUGAGCCAUGACCUGUUCCUGGUUUGGCUCAGCACGGCUUGCCUGGACAGAUGGUGAGUAAUGGCAUGCACCGCCUACUUGUCUUUCUG
rnacentral:lncRNA from 1 species